AUAGUGGCUUUAUUUGUGAUAGCCAGAGCUGAAAACAACCUAGAUGUCCCACGACAGAAAAAUGGAUACAGAAAAUGUGGUCAUUUCCACAUGGAAUACUACUUGGCUAUUAAGAAUGAGGACAUCCUGAGCUUUGCAGGCAAAUAGAUGGAACUAGAAAAUAUCAUCCUGAGUGAGGUUCAAGAAUACAACCUAUCUUAUGCUACCAUAAUUUAGAAUACAGGAGAUGGCUAACCCAUGGGACUUGGAAAAUCCAGGAUUAACUAGUUAAACUGUCCAGAAAGCUCUGAUCUCAGCUGUUCACUGGCAGAACAGAUUGCCUCCCAAGUGCUUCUCUGCCAUUCGGUAUUCCUCAGAUGUGAGAGAGCCAUAAGCAAAGACAAGUCUGGCUUGAGUAGAAGUCUGUAUCAUUCACUGAAGAAAGGAGUAAAUGACUGAGGAAGAUCAUGUCACCCAUUGGCAUCCACAUGUAUCUGAAAAGAAGUCCAUGUGCCCCUCCCUGCAUGCAUGUGAAAACGUACAUGCAUGCGCAACACAGAUGCAGAAUGAGUUUCUAGUAUUGCAUCAAGCUAUUGGACUAUGAUUAGCUGCGAUGUUAAUUUCGGGUAAAGUGAUGCUUCUGCAUCAUCUUCCUCAGAAGAAAGAAUGAUCAGUUGUACUGCACUGGUGAUGACCAAUGGAUAGAGCAUCCGCAGCCUGUUUCCCAGUCAUCUACUGAACAGGAAGAGUGCUGGGUGUAGUCAUGUCUCAUCAAAUCCUAUAGUUUAGUUUUCUUAAUGGAACUGUAGUUUCACUGAAAUGUAAACUGAAGAGCUGCUCAGGACAGUUUAUGUACAUCUUAGUUGACUAAGUUUCACUUUGGACAAUGCCACCAAAAGAGCAUUCUAGAUGUUCAUAAAUAAAUAAAUAAAGAUAAAUAGAUCCAU
ensembl:antisense 4933413L06Rik RIKEN cDNA 4933413L06 gene